rnacentral:rRNA from 1 species
CUAGAGUUUUGAUCUGGCUCAGAUUGAACGCUGGCGGCAUGCCUUACACAUGCAAGUCGAACGGCAGCACGGGUGCUUGCACCUGGUGGCGAGUGGCGAACGGGUGAGUAAUACAUCGGAACGUACCUUGUAGUGGGGGAUAGCUCGGCGAAAGCCGGAUUAAUACCGCAUACGCUCUGAGGAGGAAAGCGGGGGACCUUCGGGCCUCGCGCUACAAGAGCGGCCGAUGUCAGAUUAGCUAGUUGGUGGGGUAAAAGCUCACCAAGGCGACGAUCUGUAGCUGGUCUGAGAGGACGACCAGCCACACUGGGACUGAGACACGGCCCAGACUCCUACGGGAGGCAGCAGUGGGGAAUUUUGGACAAUGGGCGAAAGCCUGAUCCAGCAAUGCCGCGUGUGUGAAGAAGGCCUUCGGGUUGUAAAGCACUUUUGUCCGGAAAGAAAUCCUCUGGGUUAAUACCUCGGGGGGAUGACGGUACCGGAAGAAUAAGCACCGGCUAACUACGUGCCAGCAGCCGCGGUAAUACGUAGGGUGCAAGCGUUAAUCGGAAUUACUGGGCGUAAAGCGUGCGCAGGCGGUUUUGUAAGACGGAUGUGAAAUCCCCGGGCUCAACCUGGGAACUGCAUUCGUGACUGCAAGGCUAGAGUAUGGCAGAGGGGGGUAGAAUUCCACGUGUAGCAGUGAAAUGCGUAGAGAUGUGGAGGAAUACCGAUGGCGAAGGCAGCCCCCUGGGCCAAUACUGACGCUCAUGCACGAAAGCGUGGGGAGCAAACAGGAUUAGAUACCCUGGUAGUCCACGCCCUAAACGAUGUCAACUAGUUGUUGGGGAUUCAUUUCCUUAGUAACGAAGCUAACGCGUGAAGUUGACCGCCUGGGGAGUACGGUCGCAAGAUUAAAACUCAAAGGAAUUGACGGGGACCCGCACAAGCGGUGGAUGAUGUGGAUUAAUUCGAUGCAACGCGAAAAACCUUACCUACCCUUGACAUGUACGGAAUCCUGCUGAGAGGUGGGAGUGCUCGAAAGAGAACCGUAACACAGGUGCUGCAUGGCUGUCGUCAGCUCGUGUCGUGAGAUG